UCUGCAGUGAUGAUUAUACAGUGACUUUCGUUCUUCUGAAUUUAACUGAAGCCACUAUUUCUGUCCUGAGAAGA